rnacentral:lncRNA from 1 species
UGCAGACCUGCCUUCCAGGUAUUUGUUUGUUGUCUACUCCCACCUGGCUGUGAGCUCCACGGUCAGGGAUCCCCUUGGUUCUGUUCCCUGCAGCUCAUGACCUGGCAUAGUAGAUCCUCAACAAAUAUCUGAGGAACGAACAGAAACAUAAGUGAACGGACUUCUCAGAUCUCUUCCAGCUCUGUCAGUGUUUUAAGAUGCUAUGGAAGAUACUGAAAUAACUGAGGCAAUGCAGUGGGGCUUCCUAAUGGAGGGAUCAGGCUGGCAAUACCAGAACGCACCAAGCCUUCUUAGUAUCACCCAGAAAGCGUUCUUAGUAUGCUCCAGAUGUGAUCCCAUAGGAAGGACACAGCACUUCCCAGGAAGUCCGCUUGCUAGAAUGAUUGACCCUACAUCACCUCAACCCUCUGGACCUAAACACCAGUCUACAGGAAGCAGGAGGACAGUGCAACAUGUUAAAUGACACCACGAGGGUUCGGUCUGCCACAUCAACAAUGAGGACAGUCUCACAUGACGAAGGGCCUGGUUUCCUCAACAAGUAAAAGGGCAUAAAAAGGAAGAGAGUAAAGACUGUUAGAGAGGAAAAUAGAUUUAAGGGAUAAAGUACCAAAAUGCAAUGUAUGGGUCGGGUGCCAUGGCUCACGCCUGUAAUCCCAGCACUUUGGGAGGCCAAGGUGGGCGGAUCACCUGAGGUCAGGAGUU